rnacentral:tRNA from 1 species
AUUUAUUUAGUUUAUAAAAACGUUUUAUUUUCGUUAAAAAGAUGGAUUUUUCCUUUAAAUA